GGCAGACGGGUGAGUAACGCGUGGGAACGUACCCUUUACUACGGAAUAACGCAUGGAAACGUGUGCUAAUACCGUAUGUGCCCUUCGGGGGAAAGAUUUAUCGGUAAAGGAUCGGCCCGCGUUGGAUUAGCUAGUUGGUGGGGUAAAGGCCUACCAAGGCGACGAUCCAUAGCUGGUCUGA
rnacentral:rRNA from 1 species